GAUGAACGCUGGCGGCGUGCCUAAUACAUGCAAGUCGAGCGAACAGAAGAGGAGCUUGCUCCUCUGACGUUAGCGGCGGACGGGUGAGUAACACGUGGAUAACCUACCUAUAAGACUGGGAUAACUUCGGGAAACCGGAGCUAAUACCGGAUAAUAUAUUGAACCGCAUGGUUCAAUAGUGAAAGACGGUUUUGCUGUCACUUAUAGAUGGAUCCGCGCCGCAUGAGCUAGUUGGUAAGGUAACGGCUUCCCAAGGCGACGAGGCGUAGCCGACCUGAGAGGGUGAUCGGCCACACUGGAACGGAGACACGGCCCAGACCCCGACGGGAGGCAGCAGUAGGGAAUCUUCCGCAAUGGGCGAAAGCCUGACGGAGCAACGCCGCGUGAGGGAUGAAGGUCUUCGGAUCGUAGAACUCUGUUAUUAGGGAAGAACAAAAGUGUAAGUAACUAUGCACGUCGUGACGGUACCUGGUCAGAAAGCCACGGCUAACUACGUG
rnacentral:rRNA from 1 species